GAUCAUGGCUCAGGAUGAACGCUAGCUACAGGCUUAACACAUGCAAGUCGAGGGGCAUCAGUUUGGUUUGCUUGCAAACCAAAGCUGGCGACCGGCGCACGGGUGAGUAACACGUAUCCAACCUGCCUCAUACUAGGGGAUAGCCUUUCGAAAGAAAGAUUAAUAUCCGAUAGCAUAUAUUUCCCGCAUGGGUUUUAUAUUAAAGGUAUUCCGGUAGACGAUGGGGAUGCGUUCCAUUAGA
rnacentral:rRNA from 1 species